GUUAGGGAAGAUGUCGCUCAACUGACGGGGAGCACGUUUGAGGAGGACGUGAAGUAGAAGAAACUCCUUGGAGAAAAAAGAAAACAGUUUUCCAGUUAUAUCCAUACAUUGCCCAAUAGUAACUAAGCAAAAACCAGAUGGCUGAUGAGGGUGCAGGAAAACUCCAGCUGACACCAAUGACUGAAGACUUAGUAAUGAACAGUGAAGAGGGAGGAAUAGAGACAGUCUCAGAAAAUAAGGAAAUAGAAGAGGAUUCUCAGCUGGAUUCCUGUAAUCAAAAUGGCACCAAAAAGGUUGUACCUGGCAUAAUUUAUCUUGGUCAUAUCCCUCCACGCUUCCGGCCUCGGCAUGUCCGAAACCUGCUUUGCGUCCAUGGUGAAGUGGGACGUAUUUUCUUGCAGCCUGAAGAGCGAUUUAUCCGAAAGAAAAAGAAGGCGGCUGGUAGUAAUGCCAAAAACUUCACUGAAGGUUGGGUGGAAUUCCGGGAUAAGCGUGUGGCAAAGCUGGUAGCUGCUAGUUUACACAAUACUCCUAUGGGUGUUCGUAAGAAAAGCCAAUUCCAUUAUGACCUGUGGAAUAUAAAGUAUUUGAACCGCUUUAGAUGGACUCACUUGAGUGAGCAGCUUGUGUAUGAAAGGCAGGUGCGGCAGCAGCGCAUGCGUGCUGAAGUUUCUCAGGCCAAGCGCGAGACUAAUUUCUACCUGCAGAACGUGGAGAAAAGCAAGCACUUUUCAAAGAAGGGCAGUCAGGGAGAACAUGCCGAAAAGAGCUGGGGCUUCGUUCAGCGCUGUACUGAGGACGAAAUCCAGACGAGCAAAGGAAAGAAACGUCUCAAGCAACAGCUAGCCCGGUCUGCUGAGAUCCAGCAGAAAUCCCAGUCAAACAAAUCUCUGUUGACCAAAAUCUUCAAUAUCCAGCAAUAGAGAUGGACCUGUGGACUGAAGGACCCGCUCAUGAUCCUGGUCUAGCUCUUGGCAGCCAACUUUUGCAAGUGGAGCAAACCAAGUCCGCCAUUAAUCCUACUAGAGGAAAAUGCUUGUGUUGUUUCAGUAAGUACUUGGCCUGCUGUAUUGGUAUGCUGGCGAUACAGAAGUUGCAGAGUUGCCUCCUGAGGAGAACAUUUUCUUUAGGGAACUAUGUUGAGAAACACUGAUGUAGAGCUUCUAAAUAUGGUCCAAUAUUAAAACUUUACCUUAAGGGAUUUGGCAGGAGGCAACUUUUUCUUCUGGUUCUUCCUUUGCUGAUUGAGAAGUCGGGGGAAUAAAGGAACAGGUUGGUAUAAUCUAGUGAAACCCAAGGUAUUUUAGUCCUGCCUCCAUUUGUAGAACUGAUAUGAAGUACAGCUAAAUAAGAAAAUGUCGAGAAUUCCUGCUGGCUAUGUGGAAAUAAAGACUAUGAUAUUAUAAGAAUAUGUGUCAUUGGAUAUGCCAGUCAGAGGCUUGGAUUUAGAAUAGUAAUAUUCAUGCAAUCCUGAGCAAAUGCUGCCAGACUAAAAUAAAAAAAUGUUUUUUUCUACUGUUUUGAGUUUCAGGUUUCUCAUCAGAGAUCUUAUUUAAAACUUAGAAUCAUGAGCCAAAUCUGUCCAUCUUUUAUAAUCUAAACUGCCUCUUGGCCCAGCCUACUAACAGUUGUGGUGGGGAAAAUUGGCAGAAGGAAUACUGUGUACACUGUUCCUGGAGGAAGGGCAGGAUAGAAAUCUAAUGAAUGAAUAAAUAAAUAAUAAACACUUCCUUAGCAGUGUUUUCUGUGUGAUUUUUAAUCAAAAUGUUGGGAAAUUAAUAAAGAAAAAGGAGUUGAUCAUUCCCUUGUUUAGACAAUGGAAGGUUUUGUUUAUUGUAUGAGUGGUAUUAAAAUAUUUUGUUUUGGGGGGAUUGCAGGCAAAGUGUUGCUCAUGAUGAAGGAUUUGGAGUACCUUUGUUACAAGAAAAAGCAACAAUAACCAUUUAGACUGAAAAGCCCACAGAUACAGAUUAUGCAUGGUGUAAAAGUAUCCUUUAAAAAAAAGAGAAUUCGAGGCAUUCCCUGAAGGGAGCUAUGUCAAAGCAUCAGGGCUGAGUCUCUUCCUCAGCACAGGAGCAAUAGAUGUCUUAGAUGGGAGGGCAAUCCAACGGUUAAUUAUGCCAGAUCGUUCACUCAUAAAAACAGGUGGCAGCUCCAAGGAAAUGAGAAAUCCAGGAGCUUUUCUCUCCACAGAGAAUUUUUGCUCCCUUCGAGUUAAGUUUCAAGGGAUCUGAUGAAGUGACUAAAAUUCAGAAUGGUUCCGGUGGAGACCCGUAUUCAUCCUCCCCCUCAGUCACGGAAAGGACCAAGCAAGGCCUAGGCCUUCUUGAAAAGGAGAUUUUUUGCCUGUGAGCAUCUAGAUAAGCCAUUGGCCAUUUUAAGCUCAGAACUAUUGCUGCCUCCUCCCAGGCCUUGAGAAAUGGAGUUUCCCAGAGAAACAGCAAGAGGUCUUGCUAGGCCCUGUAAUUGGGUGCAGUUAAUGAAUUGCUGAAUGGGAAACAUCCCUGUCUUUUUUGUCUUAGAGCCAUUUGGACUAGAAGAGCAGUCAGUAUAUUGAUGGAGCUGUCUCUGCUCUUCCCCGGGCCCUUGGAGUCUGUGAGAUGGUUACAAGAGCAAGUGCAGAAGAGCCUAUUUGCAGCUCUUGGGGCUACAGCUGAUAAAUAGAUAGUUUGUCUCAGACCUAUGGAUUUCUUUUAAUUUAUGUUCAGUAAAAAAAUAGUUUGUCUUGGACCUGUGGUUUUCCUUAUUGUUGCUAAAUUUCUCCUGGAAGAGAAAUUCUUUCCUCCAUUAGAAGGAUUGUCUUUUGUAUAUCAACAAGGGAUUCUUAUGGUAGCAUUUGUUAUAUGUGCCAGUUAUUUCCUUGCUAUUGAGUUGAUUUAGUUGAGCAAAGGGGAGGGGGUGGGGUAUCAUAGAGAUGGGGCAUCAAGGCCCUUAACUCUAGCCCACUCCUCUGUGCAGAAAUCCAAAUUAAAGCAUCCCUGAGAGAUGGCCAUCUAGCCUCUGCUUGAAUAAAUCCAAUGAAUGGGAGCCCAGCACCCUUCAUGGUAACCGGUUACACUCAAUUUGCUCUUAUGUUAGGAAUUUUUUCUAACAUUCAACAGGAAUCUAUCUUCCUAUUCCUUAGAUCCCAUGUCCUAUACUCUGGAAUGAGGGAGAACAGGUGUCAGUCUUCUAGGUGACAUUGUUUCAGGUAUUGUUUAUUUUUAUUAGUCAUAGACCAGUACAAUUAAAAAUGCACAAAAUGUGUCUAAUUAAAAAUUCUUAGCUAUAAUAAUAGCAAAUAAAAUCCAUAUCAUAAUUAUAAUUUGGCAGCCUACCUAUCAUUUAUACAUGAGGUCAAGCGGCCUAUACUGUAGUAUAUUAUUACUCCUUAAAUUAUGACAACCUAUAAUUAUUAGUUAUUAGCUACUAAAAUUACAAUGAAGUGAAAUAUCUAAAAUUGAAGCGUGUUGGUUAUAUAAAAAUGUUUACAAUAAGUUGUUCAUCAGAUUCCAACGAAUCUUUAGUGCUGCUGUGCAGAAUCUGGCUACCUGCGCUAUGACUAUAAUCCGUUCGUCUUUAAGCAGAAACUGUAGAUAUUCAGUAUCAGAGCGGCCUGGGAACCUAUUAAUCAUCGGAUAAAUAAAUUUUGUUUGAAUGUCUCUAUAGAAUGAGCAUCGAAGAAAAACGUGUCCAGUGGUUUUUAUUUUCAGGUAUUUGAAGAAAUUUAUCAUAUCCCAUCCACAGUCUUUGGAGGUUAAGCAUACCAAGGUCUUCAGUCUCCAAAGGAUUUAGUUUCUAGUCCCUGAGCAUCCUUGCUGCUCUUUUCUGAAUCUGUUCUAACUUCUCUGGGUACUUGUUGUAGAGCAGUACCCAGAACUGAACACAAUACUCGAAGGAGAGGGGUGGUGGAGGGAGUCUGACCAACUACAUUUACAAUUUGAAAAUUAUAAACUAUUGUUGAUGCAGCCAUAAUUGCAUUUGCCUUUUUUGCAGUCACAUCACAUUACUGGCUCAUACUCAGUUCCCAAUCAACUACUGUUCCAAGAUCUAUUUCACAGUACCAUUCUUAAGGCUGUACCUGUGCAUUUGAUUUUUGCUUGUUAAGUGCACUUGUCUCUGUUAAAUUUCAUUCUGUUACUUUCAACCUAUCUUUUCUUAACUAUCAAAAUGGUUUUGAAUCUUUUUUUUGCCUUGUUAACUGUGCUGUUUACUUCCUUUUCAAGACUUCCUACAGUUCUGACUAAGCAAGUUAAUGUAUAUCUUUCUACUGAUACGAUGAAGUUUUGUUGGCCUCUGUGCUUCCAAAUCAUCAGAUCCAUCACUCUGGUUUCCAGGAAUGGAUAUAGUUAACACCUCACAAUAUGGAAGUUUAUUUGAUCUUUGUUUAAAGACAUUUUAGUCUCUUGGACUCCCAGUCUAGUCUCUUUUCUAUGAGGCAGUUUUUAUUCCAUCCUCUGAACAGCUCAGUCAGAGGUUGUUUUCAACAACAGAGGUUGUUUUCAACAUAGUGUCUUUCCUCUCACAAUGGAAUAGCAUCUAGAGUAGCUCUAGCUAGUUCUUUCACU